rnacentral:lncRNA from 1 species
UGUCCCAGGUGUGUCUCAGCUGUCCCCAGGUGUCCCCAGGUGUCCCCAGGUGUCCCCAGGUGUGUCCCAGGUGUCCCCAGGUGUCCCAGGUGUGCCAGGUGCGCUCACCUGCGGGACCAGGUUGCGGAAGCUGGCGAUGAUGUUGGUGCUCUUGAACUCCUGGUAGUACCCGAAGCACCCGGUGACGACCACGACGGCGAUGAGAGCCACGGCCAGGUAGAGCUGCAGGUGAGGCCAGGUGAGAGCGGGCCUGGGC